UAUAGUGAGGCAGAGGCGGCCAUGGAGCAGGUGUUGAGGUUGGAUCAGCACUGUAAAGAGGCUUCCAGUAAACUCUUUACCUGCCGGGUCCUGCAGCUCAUGGAGAUGGGUUUUGAGGAGGAGCAGAGUGGUGUGCUCUUAGAGAAGUUCACUACCGUUCAGGCAGUCAUUGACUCACCUGAAGCCAAAGCGCUGAAGCACACAUCUCUGCAGGACCAGAGUGGGAGCUGUCGCUU